rnacentral:rRNA from 1 species
UUUUGGACAAUGGGCGCAAGCCUGAUCCAGCAAUGCCGCGUGCAGGAAGAAGGCCUUCGGGUUGUAAACUGCUUUUGUCAGGGAAGAAAUCUUCUGGGUUAAUACCUCGGGAGGAUGACGGUACCUGAAGAAUAAGCACCGGCUAACUACGUGCCAGCAGCCGCGGUAAUACGUAGGGUGCGAGCGUUAAUCGGAAUUACUGGGCGUAAAGCGUGCGCAGGCGGCUUUGCAAGACAGAUGUGAAAUCCCCGGGCUCAACCUGGGAACUGCAUUUGUGACUGCAAGGCUAGAGUACGGCAGAGGGGGAUGGAAUUCCGCGUGUAGCAGUGAAAUGCGUAGAUGUGCGGAGGAACACCGAUGGCGAAGGCAAUCCCCUGGGCCUGUACUGACGCUCAUGCACGAAA